AUGCUAUGAGAGCGGCGCACGGGUGCGUAACGCGUAUGCAACCUGCCUUAUACAAAGGGAUAGCCCAUGGAAACGUGGAUUAAUAUCUUAUAGGACUUUUGAAUCGCAUGGUUUAGAAGUUAAAAUUACGGUGGUAUAAGAUGGGCAUGCGUCUGAUUAGGUAGUUGGUAGGGUAACGGCCUACCAAGCCGACGAUCAGUAGGGGUUCUGAGAGGAUUACCCCCCACACUGGUACUGAGACACGGACCAGACUCCUACGGGAGGCAGCAGUGAGGAAUAUUGGUCAAUGGGCGCAAGCCUGAACCAGCCAUCCCGCGUGCAGGAUGACGGCCCUAUGGGUUGUAAACUGCUUUUCUACGCCAAGAAACCCAUUUACGAGUAGAUGGUUGACGGUAGUGUAGGAAUAAGCACCGGCUAACUCCGUGCCAGCAGCCGCGGUAAUACGGAGGGUGCAAGCGUUAUCCGGAUUCAUUGGGUUUAA
rnacentral:rRNA from 1 species